rnacentral:rRNA from 1 species
AUUGAACGCUGGCGGCAGGCCUAACACAUGCAAGUCGAGCGGAUGAAGGGAGCUUGCUCCUGGCUUCAGCGGCGGACGGGUGAGUAAUGCCUAGGAAUCUGCCUGGUAGUGGGGGAUAACGUCCCGAAACGGGCGCUAAUACCGCAUACGUCCUGAGGGUGAACGUGGGGGAUCUUCGGACCUCACGCUAUCAGAUGAGCCUAGGUCGGAUUAGCUAGUUGGUGGGGUAAAGGCCUACCAAGGCGACGGUCCGUAACUGGUCUGUGAGGAUGAUCAGUCACACUGGAACUAGGACACGGUCCAGAGUCCUACGGUAGGCAGCAGUGGGGAAUAUAGGACAAUGGGCGAAAGCCUGAUCCAGCCAUGCGGCGUGUGUGAAGAAGGUCUUCGAAUUGUAAAGCACUUUAAGUUGGGAGGAAGGGCAGUAAGUUAAUACCUUGCUGUUUUGACGUUACCAACAGAAUAAUCACCGGCUAGCUUCGUG